AUACGUAGGGUGCGAGCGUUGUCCGGAAUUACUGGGCGUAAAGAGCUCGUAGGUGGUUUGUCGCGUCGUCUGUGAAAUUCCGGGGCUUAACUCCGGGCGUGCAGGCGAUACGGGCAUAACUUGAGUACUGUAGGGGAGACUGGAAUUCCUGGUGUAGCGGUGAAAUGCGCAGAUAUCAGGAGGAACACCGGUGGCGAAGGCGGGUCGCUGGGCAGUAACUGACGCUGAGGAGCGAAAGCAUGGGUAGCGAACAGGAUUAGAUGCCCUGGUAGUCCAUGCCGUAAACGGUGGGCGCUAGGUGUAGGGGUCUUCCACGACUUCUGUGCCGUAGCUAACGCAUUAAGCGCCCCGCCUGGGGAGUACGGCCGCAAGGCUAAAACUCAAAUGAAUUGACGGGG
rnacentral:rRNA from 1 species